CGAGCGGAGGAGGAGCCGUGCGACGGCAAGCCGGAACACAAGCUAAAUAUCUUCCGUUGCUCCGGUAUCCUUUUCCACCACAGUUCUUCCACAAAUCUCAGAUACACUUCGCCUUCCACAAGACCGCACAUGUAACGCACAACUUCUUGAAUUCACACAGAAGUUCCUUCCCCAUACGCUCGAUCUGGUAUACAAUACAAAGAGAAACACGAGGGCCCAGACAUUUGAUCUCAUCGCAGGUGACGCAGCCGACGGCCACGCCAACCCCGCCGUCUUCGUCGACGGGACCGGCGACGCCAACCUUCACAUUGUUGUGCCGACCAGCGACCGCCUCGUUCACGCCUCUCCGUCGGCCACUUACCGAGAUCCGAAGUGAUCCCAGCUUCCUGUAAUAGAUGGAUAUAGUGAAUCACAUGGUGGUGCAAUUGAGCCCCAGUCAGAGCUACUCUCAUGAUUGCAAUGAGUACUAUGGCAGAGGUGCUAUUCCUGUUUACAGGUCAGACUGAUCUGUCACUUUGUUGAUAAUCUUGGAUCCGCUUGUUGAUGUUCACCAGGAAUCACAACUAUGGUAUCUCAUUACCAAUACUAUCUUGACUUGAUGGGAGUUGGCCCUGAGCACUCUCGACACAACUUGGAUUGUGGUGAUCAGGUGGCUUUCAAUCUAUCAUCAGAGAGUUCCGACUUCUAAGAAACUGUUUUAAAAAUCAGUGUGUCUGGGGCUGAGGGCCCACUAACUGGGUUCCCCAAGCUAUUGUGAUCAUGUCUUUGAAACAACAGUUGUUUGCCCUAUGGCAUAUGUAAUAUGUACUAUGAUGCUUAAUAUUUUACCACCGC